AAUAUAUAAAAUUAAAAAUUAUGUAAUUUAUAAACAUGAAAUAGAUAUGGAUGUUAGGUAAUACCGGAUGUUAAAUUAAUAUAUAAAUAUUUAACUUAAUACGUACAUUAUUAUUUUAUUAAUUUAUCGUCACACGUCAUUUACCAGUUGCCUAAUUACGAAAAGUUUCAUAUGAUAUUAACCUCAAAAAUGAUCUUUGAAAACAAACAACAACAAAUAACUCAAAGAAAUAACUACAUACUACAUAAUAAUAACUGAUAAUAAUGACUUUUAAUGGUAUAAAGGCUGAUGAAGUUUUAGACAACCAAUACAAGAUUCAGAACUCGGCAUCGCGAUAAACAAGUAAAAUUGUACAUUCAGGAACUCGUUUAAAUAUUAUAGGUUGAUUGAAGAAUAAUCUACAAUUGAUUAGAGCCUAUGACGAUGCGAAGAUAAUUAAUCACCUAACUUUAAGAAACCAGCCUAAAGAAGUUUACAUGCAUCUCAUCUAACCAUUAUAGAUCAGUAGUGAUUUUUCAUAAUUUGAAUGAACUCACAGAUAGCAAUGGGGCACCGCACCGAAGCAGUAUUACAAAAUGUGAAAUAAAACUGUAGUACAUAUUGCUCUAUAAAAUUUAAUAGAAAUAAAUUUAUUUAUGAAAAUUAAUGAAGUUUUAUCUUUCCUAGGAAAAAAAUAACAAUUAUAUUUUGAACAAUUAAUUU
rnacentral:lncRNA from 1 species